GUUGGUGACCAGCGGAGGGAUCAUUACCGAGUUUACAACUCCCAAACCCCUGUGAACAUACCACUUGUUGCCUCGGCGGAUCAGCCCGCUCCCGGUAAAACGGGACGGCCCGCCAGAGGACCCCUAAACUCUGUUUCUAUAUGUAACUUCUGAGUAAAACCAUAAAUAAAUCAAAACUUUCAACAACGGAUCUCUUGGUUCUGGCAUCGAUGAAGAACGCAGCAAAAUGCGAUAAGUAAUGUGAAUUGCAGAAUUCAGUGAAUCAUCGAAUCUUUGAACGCACAUUGCGCCCGCCAGUAUUCUGGCGGGCAUGCCUGUUCGAGCGUCAUUUCAACCCUCAAGCACAGCUUGGUGUUGGGACUCGCGUUAAUUCGCGUUCCUCAAAUUGAUUGGCGGUCACGUCGAGCUUCCAUAGCGUAGUAGUAAAACCCUCGUUACUGGUAAUCGUCGCGGCCACGCCGUUAAACCCCAACUUCUGAAUGUUGACCUCGGAUCAGGUAGGAAUACCCGCUGAACUUAAGCAUAUC
rnacentral:rRNA from 1 species